AUUGAACGCUGGCGGCAGGCCUAACACAUGCAAGUCGAACGAGUGGCGGACGGGUGAGUAAUGUCUGGGAAACUGCCUGAUGGAGGGGGAUAACUACUGGAAACGGUAGCUAAUACCGCAUACCAUCAGAUGUGCCCAGAUGGGAUUAGCUAGUAGGUGAGGUAACGGCUCACCUAGGCGACGAUCCCUAGCUGGUCUGAGAGGAUGACCAGCCACACGGGAGCAGAGACACGUCCCAAAUUCCUACGGGAGGCAGCAGUGGGGAAUAGUGAACAUUGGGCGCAAUCCUGAGGCAGCCAUGCCGCGUGUAUGAAGAAGGCCUUCGGGUUGUAAAGUACUUUCAGCGGGGAGGCGUUACCCGCAGAAGAAGCACCGGCUAACUCCGUGCCAGCAGCCGCGGUAAUAC
rnacentral:rRNA from 1 species